GGGUUUCAGUGCUGUAUUGUUGAGUUUUGUAUGAACUAAUCUAGCUUCACUAAAAAAAAAGAAAGAAGAAGAAGAAAAGAAAAAAAGGAAAGAAAGAAGAAAUAAAGGGAAAGGAAAAAAAAGACAGCUUUGAACAAAAGUCCACAGCCAGUGUGUUCCAAGUCCCUGCACAGGGCUGGCUGUGGCAGGGGACACUCUCCUGCUGGCUCUCUCUGACCACACAUUAGCUGGCUCCCGUCCUCAGGUGCACGGCCACACCCUUGCACUCAACCUUGAUCCUCUGAUGGGGACGGUCCCAGGACUUGCCAGCUGGGACAGGCCUCACCCCCAAGCGCUCUAUGCAGUACUGAGAAGCAAACCUGACAGAUUUCUCCAGAAAAGUGGCCAUCCAUGGAAUGAGUGAAAUACUCUUUCUAUUCCAGGGAUUGCAGAGGCAAAGCUAGGCUAGGUCUUGGAGGCUGGUGGAAGGCGGUGCGGGUAAGGCAGGACGCUGAUGGGAGAGACUGGUCGAAGAAAAGCCGAAAUGGAUUCUCCGUGCCUUGGAUGGAGGAAGAGCGGGGAAGUGCGAGCUCCUUCAACUCGUUCUGUCCGGUGAGGAGUGAUCCAGCUUGGGCUGACAAGAGGCUCCGGAGCCUUCACGUUCAGUGCUUUUUUACCUGCCAAUCAAACUGCUACAAGACAACACCCUGCUCUGGCAUGGACAUAGAACCUAGAAAUUAUAUUCUCCUCAAGAUCCGUGAAAGAGAACCUGACUGCUUGCUUUGGUCUGAGUUCAGACAUCUCUUCUCUUAAGAAAGUCUUCAUUUCCGUUUGCUGAGUCCUCCUGUUUUGUCAUCGCUGGGCCCUGUAAGAAGUUUGCCAGGAGGUCCCCAGAAGUAGAAGGACCAUGCUCUCUAUUCUAAGCUGGCCUUGAACUCAUGAUGAAUCAGAGGAUGGCCUCGAUCUGGGAUGGACAUUUCCAGCAGAGAAAUGCUAUCUAGACCAAAGACAUUGUUUUACUAUACAGCCAGCGGUUCUUUAAAUGCCCGGCAACCCUCUCUUCUCCGGUGCUUGAUGGUGUGUGUGUGAAGGAGUGUUCCUAAACACCGGCACCAAAGGGUGGGCAUACAUCAAGCAUGCAGGAGGUGGAGGAGGGAGGGGGCCUUGCCGAUGCCUCAGAUGAGGUGGUGGAUGAGAAAAGCAGGGGUGGAUCAGAGCAGACACAGCACUGAAAGUCUGUGGUUCCGUUUCCCAGAAGUAAUCACUCAGCUUCUACUUGGUUUGUCAUUGCCAAUGUCGAGACUCAAACCCAGGCCCUGAUCACCAGAGACUGUCUGUUUUCAAGCUUAAAAAAAAGAAAAGAAAAGAAAUACUUAUUUUGAUUUUCAUUUAAUUUCAUAUUACGCCCAGGAACUAUUUUAAGGAAUUUUGUGUUAUAACCUGUGACCAAAACUCAAGUAGCAGUUUUUCUAACGUAUCUGCAUUUGCUAUGAAGAAUCAAAACCACGAGAGUAUUUUCAUUGCCUGGCACUUUAUAACAAGGUCAGAUUUAGUAUUAACAUGAAAGAACAAAGCUUCAAUAUUUAUUUUGUUCUAAAAUAAAGUACUUUUUUCCCUCUGUAUAUUCUUUGUUAUGCAUAAAGUAUUUCUAGGGUUUUUUUUUUCAUUUUCAUGUGUCCAGGUAUUUUGUCUACACAUAUGACAGUAUACCAUGUGCAUGCCCAGUGUCCAUGGAAGUCAGAAGAGGGCACUGGAUUCCCUGGGACUUCAAUUACAGACAGGGGUGAGCCGCUAUGUGGUUACUGGGAAUUGAACCUGGGUCCUCUGAAAGGGGGGGCCAGUGGUCCUAAUCGGCUGAGCCACCUCUCCUGUCCUGGGUGUUGUCUUUAACAUACAUAUUAUUUUUUUAAAGUCAUUUGUUACAAGAUUAAGUAUUAAUAGCAAGUCUUUUGGAAGUUUUCCCUCCAUAAUUUUAUUAUUUCAAGGGAGGUCCAAGGAAGACUCUUCACUCAAGGGGGAAAAAUACCCUGAGCCCGUAUUAGAAAUAAAAAUGUUUAUUCAGAGAUUUCUCCCGGUAGGUAAAAUUUAUGCUGGGUCUUAUUUCAGAGUCGAUUAUUCUCUGAGAGGAGCAGGGAAAUAUUAGGAUUUCAAAGACAAUCGUCUUUGUGUCAAA